rnacentral:rRNA from 1 species
GGGGCCCGGCACAAGCGGUGGAGCAUGUGGUUUAAUUCGAUGCAACGCGAAAACCUUACCUGGGCUUGACAUCUCUCGGAAUCCGGUAGAAACAUCGGAGUGCCCGCAAGGGAGCCGAGAGACAGGUGCUGCAUGGCUGUCGUCAGCUCGUGCCGUGGGAUGUUGGGUUAAGUCCCGCAACGAGCGCAACCCUUGUCAUUAGUUGCUACAUUCAGUUGGGCACUCUAAUGAGACUGCCGGUGACAAACCGGAGGAAGGUGGGGAUGACGUCAAGUCCUCAUGGCCCUUAUAGGUGGGGCUACACACGUCAUACAAUGGAUGGUACAAAGGGUCGCCAACCCGCGAGGGGGAGCCAAUCCCAUAAAGCCAUUCGUAGUCCGGAUCGCAGUCUGCAACUCGACUGCGUGAAGUCGGAAUCGCUAGUAAUCGUGGAUCAGAAUGUCACGGUGAAUACGUUCCCGGGUCUU